AGCAGCCGCGGUAAUUCCAGCUCCAAUAGCGUAUAUUAAAGUUGUUGCAGCUAAAAAGCUCGUAGUUGAAUUUCGGGAUUGACGUAAUGGUCAUGCCUUAAGGGGUAUGAACUGUUACUGUUGAUUUCUCACCUUCUGGAAAACUUGAUGUCCUUAAUUGGGUGUCUUGCGGAUCCGGGACCUUUACCUUGAAAAAUUGAGUGUUUAAAGCAGGCAUUUUGCUCGAAUACAUUAGCAUGGAAUAAUAGAAUAGGACGGCAUGGUUCUAUUUUGUUGGUUUCUAGGAUCACCGUAAUGAUUAAUAGGGAUAGUUGGGGGCAUUAGUAUUCAAUUGUCAGAGGUGAAAUUCUUGGAUUUAUUGAAGACUAACUACUGCGAAAGCAUUUGCCAAGGAUGUUUUCAUUAAUCAAGAACGAAAGUUAGGGGAUCGAAGA
rnacentral:rRNA from 1 species